rnacentral:rRNA from 1 species
AGCGUACACGGUGGAUGCCCUGGCAGUCAGAGGCGAUGAAGGACGUGCUAAUCUGCGAUAAGCGUCGGUAAGGUGAUAUGAACCGUUAUAACCGGCGAUUUCCGAAUGGGGAAACCCAGUGUGUUUCGACACACUAUCAUUAACUGAAUCCAUAGGUUAAUGAGGCGAACCGGGGGAACUGAAACAUCUAAGUACCCCGAGGAAAAGAAAUCAACCGAGAUUCCCCCAGUAGCGGCGAGCGAACGGGGAGCAGCCCAGAGCCUGAAUCAGUGUGUGUGUUAGUGGAAGCGUCUGGAAAGGCGCGCGAUACAGGGUGACAGCCCCGUACACAAAAAUGCACAUACUGUGAGCUCGAUGAGUAGGGCGGGACACGUGGUAUCCUGUCUGAAUAUGGGGGGACCAUCCUCCAAGGCUAAAUACUCCUGACUGACCGAUAGUGAACCAGUACCGUGAGGGAAAGGCGAAAAGAACCCCGGCGAGGGGAGUGAAAAAGAACCUGAAACCGUGUACGUACAAGCAGUGGGAGCCUCUUUUAUGGGGUGACUGCGUACCUUUUGUAUAAUGGGUCAGCGACUUAUAUUCUGUAGCAAGGUUAACCGAAUAGGGGAGCCGAAGGGAAACCGAGUCUUAACUGGGCGUUAAGUUGCAGGGUAUAGACCCGAAACCCGGUGAUCUAGCCAUGGGCAGGUUGAAGGUUGGGUAACACUAACUGGAGGACCGAACCGACUAAUGUUGAAAAAUUAGCGGAUGACUUGUGGCUGGGGGUGAAAGGCCAAUCAAACCGGGAGAUAGCUGGUUCUCCCCGAAAGCUAUUUAGGUAGCGCCUCGUGAAUUCAUCUCCGGGGGUAGAGCACUGUUUCGGCAAGGGGGUCAUCCCGACUUACCAACCCGAUGCAAACUGCGAAUACCGGAGAAUGUUAUCACGGGAGACACACGGCGGGUGCUAACGUCCGUCGUGAAGAGGGAAACAACCCAGACCGCCAGCUAAGGUCCCAAAGUCAUGGUUAAGUGGGAAACGAUGUGGGAAGGCCCAGACAGCCAGGAUGUUGGCUUAGAAGCAGCCAUCAUUUAAAGAAAGCGUAAUAGCUCACUGGUCGAGUCGGCCUGCGCGGAAGAUGUAACGGGGCUAAACCAUGCACCGAAGCUGCGGCAGCGACACUAUGUGUUGUUGGGUAGGGGAGCGUUCUGUAAGCCUGUGAAGGUGUACUGUGAGGUAUGCUGGAGGUAUCAGAAGUGCGAAUGCUGACAUAAGUAACGAUAAAGCGGGUGAAAAGCCCGCUCGCCGGAAGACCAAGGGUUCCUGUCCAACGUUAAUCGGGGCAGGGUGAGUCGACCCCUAAGGCGAGGCCGAAAGGCGUAGUCGAUGGGAAACAGGUUAAUAUUCCUGUACUUGGUGUUACUGCGAAGGGGGGACGGAGAAGGCUAUGUUGGCCGGGCGACGGUUGUCCCGGUUUAAGCGUGUAGGCUGGUUUUCCAGGCAAAUCCGGAAAAUCAAGGCUGAGGCGUGAUGACGAGGCACUACGGUGCUGAAGCAACAAAUGCCCUGCUUCCAGGAAAAGCCUCUAAGCAUCAGGUAACAUCAAAUCGUACCCCAAACCGACACAGGUGGUCAGGUAGAGAAUACCAAGGCGCUUGAGAGAACUCGGGUGAAGGAACUAGGCAAAAUGGUGCCGUAACUUCGGGAGAAGGCACGCUGAUAUGUAGGUGAAGUCCCUCGCGGAUGGAGCUGAAAUCAGUCGAAGAUACCAGCUGGCUGCAACUGUUUAUUAAAAACACAGCACUGUGCAAACACGAAAGUGGACGUAUACGGUGUGACGCCUGCCCGGUGCCGGAAGGUUAAUUGAUGGGGUUAGCGGUAACGCGAAGCUCUUGAUCGAAGCCCCGGUAAACGGCGGCCGUAACUAUAACGGUCCUAAGGUAGCGAAAUUCCUUGUCGGGUAAGUUCCGACCUGCACGAAUGGCGUAAUGAUGGCCAGGCUGUCUCCACCCGAGACUCAGUGAAAUUGAACUCGCUGUGAAGAUGCAGUGUACCCGCGGCAAGACGGAAAGACCCCGUGAACCUUUACUAUAGCUUGACACUGAACAUUGAGCCUUGAUGUGUAGGAUAGGUGGGAGGCUUUGAAGUGUGGACGCCAGUCUGCAUGGAGCCGGCCUUGAAAUACCACCCUUUAAUGUUUGAUGUUCUAACGUUGGCCCCUGAUCGGGGUUGCGGACAGUGUCUGGUGGGUAGUUUGACUGGGGCGGUCUCCUCCUAAAGAGUAACGGAGGAGCACGAAGGUUGGCUAAUCCUGGUCGGACAUCAGGAGGUUAGUGCAAUGGCAUAAGCCAGCUUGACUGCGAGCGUGACGGCGCGAGCAGGUGCGAAAGCAGGUCAUAGUGAUCCGGUGGUUCUGAAUGGAAGGGCCAUCGCUCAACGGAUAAAAGGUACUCCGGGGAUAACAGGCUGAUACCGCCCAAGAGUUCAUAUCGACGGCGGUGUUUGGCACCUCGAUGUCGGCUCAUCACAUCCUGGGGCUGAAGUAGGUCCCAAGGGUAUGGCUGUUCGCCAUUUAAAGUGGUACGCGAGCUGGGUUUAGAACGUCGUGAGACAGUUCGGUCCCUAUCUGCCGUGGGCGCUGGAGAACUGAGGGGGGCUGCUCCUAGUACGAGAGGACCGGAGUGGACGCAUCACUGGUGUUCGGGUUGUCAUGCCAAUGGCACUGCCCGGUAGCUAAAUGCGGAAGAGAUAAGUGCUGAAAGCAUCUAAGCACGAAACUUGCCCCGAGAUGAGUUCUCCCUGACUCCUUGA